rnacentral:rRNA from 1 species
UACGUAGGGAGCAAGCGUUGUCCGGAAUCAUUGGGCGUAAAGCGCGCGUAGGCGGCCCGGUAAGUCCGCUGUAAAAGUCCAGGGCUCAACCCUGGGAUGCGGGUGGAUACUGCCGGGCUCGAGUCCGGAAGAGGCGAGUGGAAUUCCCGGUGUAGCGGUGAAAUGCGCAGAUAUCGGGAGGAACACCAAUGGCGAAGGCAGCUCGCUGGGACGUGACUGACGCUGAGACGCGAAAGCGUGGGGAGCAACAGG